rnacentral:rRNA from 1 species
AUUGAACGCUGGCGGAAUGCUUUACACAUGCAAGUCGAACGGCAGCACGGACUUCGGUCUGGUGGCGAGUGGCGAACGGGUGAGUAAUACAUCGGAACGUGCCCAGUCGUGGGGGAUAACGUAGCGAAAGCUACGCUAAUACCGCAUACGAUCUAAGGAUGAAAGCGGGGGAUCGCAAGAUCUCGCCCGAUUGGAGCGGCCGAUGGCAGAUUAGGUAGUUGGUAGGGUAAAGGCCUACCAAGCCGACGAUCUGUAGCUGGUCUGAGAGGAUGAUCAGCCACACUGGGACUGAGACACGGCCCAGACUCCUACGGGAGGCAGCAGUGGGGAAUUUUGGACAAUGGGCGCAAGCCUGAUCCAGCCAUUCCGCGUGCAGGAUGAAGGCCUUCGGGUUGUAAACUGCUUUUGUACAGAACGAAAAGGCUCUGGUUAAUACCCGGGGCUCAUGACGGUACUGUAAGAAUAAGCACCGGCUAACUACGUGCCAGCCGCCGCAGUAA